GACAGAGGUGCCGAGCGUUAGGCGGAAUCACUGGGCUUAAAGCGUGUGUAGGCGGAUCUGUAAGUACCUUGUGAAAUCCCACGGCUCAACCGUGGAACUGCUUGGUAUACUGCGGGUCUUGAGCCACCUAGGGGCAAGUGGAACAAACGGUGGAGCGGUGAAAUGCGUAGAUAUCUGGAGGAACACCGGUGGCGAAGGCGGCAUCCUGGACCGAGAUUGACGCUGAUGCGCGAAAGCCAGGGGAGCAAACGGG
rnacentral:rRNA from 1 species